GCGCAGCAGUCGAGAAUCCUCCGCAAUGCGCGAAAGCGCGACGGGGCCACCCCGAGUGCCGCCCGCUGAGGGCGGCUUUUCCCCGGUGUAGACAGCCGGGGGAAUAAGGGGAGGGCAAGUCUGGUGUCAGCCGCCGCGGUAAUACCAGCUCCCCGAGUGGUGGGGACGAUUAUUGGGCCUAAAGCGUCCGUAGCCGGCCCGGCAAGUCUCCCGUUAAAUCCAGCGAUCUAAUCGCUGGACUGCGGGAGAUACUGUCGGGCUAGGGGGCGGGAGAGGCCGGCGGUAUUCCCGGGGUAGGGGUGAAAUCCUAUAAUCCCGGGAGGACCACCAGUGGCGAAGGCUGCCGGCUGGAACGCGCCCGACGGUGAGGGACGAAAGCCGGGGGAGCGAACCGGAUUAGAUACCCCUGUAGU
rnacentral:rRNA from 1 species